GACGUAAUGUGAUUUCUGCCCAGUGCUCUAAAUGUUAAAGUGAAUAAAUUCAACCAAGAACGAGUAAAUAGAGGGAGUAACUAUGAUUAGUGAUUCACAUGAAUUAGUGAUUCACAUGAAUGGAUUAACUAGAUUCCCACUAUCCCUAUCUACUAUCUAGCGAAACCACAACUAAGGGAAUGGGCUCAUCAUAAUCAAUAGGGAAAGAAUACCUUGUUGAGAUUGAAUGUAUUCGGACUUCGUGAAAUGGAUUGAGAGUUGUAGAAUAAGUGGGAAUUGUUUUCGACACAAAUGAAAUACCACUACUUUUACCAUUAUUUUACUUAUAAUUUUGUGGGGCGGAGACAAGGCAUUUACCCUAUCUUUGGCCUUAAGUCAUGUCAAAACCCUAUAUAUUAUUAAAGAUGUAAACACCCCUAUCCAUGAGCCUUUGUUUAAAUACAAAUGGAAAAAAAAGGUGGAUACAAAAAAGCAACCCAUUCCUCCUCAGGGUCCUCCCUAGGAUCUUGUUGUAUCUCAUAAUGUUGCACACUCCAUUGAUAUCCAUGUUGUUAUCUAAUUUUUUACUAGCCCUCCUCGUCAUGAAGAGGAUUUAUUUGCUACCCCUAUAUUUAGAUAUGGAAUUAGGAUUUUAAUAUCCUUUUAGGAAAUGCACUUAGAGUCAUUUACCCCUAUGCAACCCACCACAUGUUGCAAGAUUAAGAUAGUAUUUAACUGAUCAUGAAAUUAUCUUGUGU
rnacentral:ncRNA from 1 species